UACGGAGGGGGCUAGCGUUGUUCGGAAUUACUGGGCGUAAAGCGCACGUAGGCGGCUUUGUAAGUUAGAGGUGAAAGCCCGGGGCUCAACCCCCGGAAUUGCCUUUAAGACUGCAUCGCUAGAAUUGUGGAGAGGUGAGUGGAAUUCCGAGUGUAGAGGUGAAAUUCGUAGAUAUUCGGAAGAACACCAGUGGCGAAGGCGACUCACUGGACACAUAUUGACGCUGAGGUGCGAAAGCGUGGGGAGCAAACAGG
rnacentral:rRNA from 1 species